GACCUAAACUUCUCUCAUUCUCAGCCGCUGUGCCUCCAUUCUCUCCAUCACUCGAAACUUUUCUCACAUCGCUCCUCAUUCACGACUCACAGUCUCACAUCGAUCUUUUGAUCCUCUCCCUUCAACUCACUUUCUUCGUGUUCCUCUUGAUAGAAGGGCAUUCUUGCAGCCUUGCAAACACAUAUAUGAGAAUUACUCGUUGCUUGAGGAUUUGACAGCUCAAGAAGGUACUGAAGCUGCACCAAGGAAGAAGGGAGCUGCAGGUUCCGCUUAAGUCUGUGAGCUAUUCUACUAAAGUUCCUUAGUAAUUUACUAGCUGUGAGGCUCAGACUAACAGCUUUGAUAAAAUAAAUAAAUAAAAAAACAUGUAAUUCAUUUAAACAGCUUUGAUAUUUACCACCAUGCUCUCCUGGACAAUUUCUCUACUGCCCGAGACUGGCUGCUAAUGAGUCACCUGCAAUGGCUUUGUUAUUUGGCUUUAGUCAAAUUUGAAUUUGACAUAUGACAUGGCAAAUUUGAUAUAGCAACAUUUUGACUAUUUUUAGCUUCAAUGGAGAUGUCAAAUUUGAAUAUUACUUUAAUAUAUAAAAUUUUAUUUAUGUUGUUUUUCCUUUUUUUUAAUUUUUUUUUUUAUCUUGUAAUCAAAGAUCAUACAAUGAAUG